rnacentral:rRNA from 1 species
GAUGAACGCUGGCGGCGUGCCUAAUACAUGCAAGUCGAGCGAACAGACGAGGAGCUUGCUCCUCUGACGUUAGCGGCGGACGGGUGAGUAACACGUGGAUAACCUACCUAUAAGACUGGGAUAACUUCGGGAAACCGGAGCUAAUACCGGAUAACAUGUUGAACCGCAUGGUUCAACAGUGAAAGACGGUCUUGCUGUCACUUAUAGAUGGAUCCGCGCCGCAUUAGCUAGUUGGUAAGGUAACGGCUUACCAAGGCAGCGAUGCGUAGCCGACCUGAGAGGGUGAUCGGCCACACUGGAACUGAGGCACGGUCCAGACUCCUACGGGAGGCAGCAGUAGGGAAUCUUCCGCAAUGGGCGAAAGCCUGACGGAGCAACGCCGCGUGAGUGAAGAAGGUCUUCGGAUCGUAAAACUCUGUUAUUAGGGAAGAACAAAUGUGUAAGUAACUAUGCACGUCUUGACGGUACCUAAUCAGAAAGCCACGGCUAACUACGUG